CCGACUUGUGAUGUUGUGCCUCCGACAGUGUCGGGGGUAUAACUAGCCUAAUUUAUGCAUUCUCUCGGUUAAAAGAAGUUAUUUGCACUGAUCCAUUCUAUUGUUUUCACAUUUUUGUUGAUUUUAAUGAAUGUUUGAUGCAUUUCCUUUACAAAUGAAGAUAUACACAAAAAGGGGGGGGGGCACAUUUGUUACAAGAUGGUGAAAUUAUACCCCCUUAUCAUGUUCAUAUAGUCUUCAAGCCAGGAAAGUGAUAUAUUUAUACCAGAAUUGGUGCAGUUAUGCAGACCAUCUUGCUGAUUGUGUGGUCAAGCCCUUUCAGUCAUUCAUUUUGUGAUAGCUAUGCAGCAAUUAACUUAAAGCUUCUCUCAAAAUUCUAAAAGUAAUCGUUUAAUAGGCGUAGCUCAAUAUUAUCCUCGUCUCUUGGUUGUUCUUGCCAUUAAGAAUUGUGAUGUCACGCUUUCAAUACUUGUUAUUUUUACUUUGGCACUUUCCUAUGACCGAUUGGAAUAGACUUAAUGAUUAGUUUAGUUAGCAUAUGUUUAAAAGCUGUACA
rnacentral:lncRNA from 1 species